CCAAUCAAGAAGAAAAGGAAUUAUUUUCUUUUCUUUCUUUAAACUUCCAACUAAGAGGAAAGAAAUAUAUUUUCUUUCUUUUCUUUUCUCUCCUUACCAAUAUUUUUUUUCCUUUUCUUUUCUUCCCUAAACUCCAAAACAAGAUGGAAAAUUAUUUGGUACCUGACAAACUAAUACAACCAUCGGAAUUUGAUUGAACCAAAACCUUCAGC
rnacentral:lncRNA from 1 species